rnacentral:lncRNA from 1 species
GUUAAUAUUUUAAUUUUAUAAUCCCAUAAAUCGCUACAAAUCUAAACUGUUUUGAUAAUGUUAACUGUUUUAAUAUUAUCAUUACUAAUUUAAUUAUUAUCUCUUAAAAUCACUACUUUUUUAAUCCCAAAUUUAAUAUUUUGAAUUUAUAAUCCCCUAAAUCACUACAAAUCUAUUAAAUAUACUACAACACAGUACAUGACACAAUAGCUUGACACAUGUCAUCCUCAAAAUUUAACACAUGUCCUGUCUAAUUAAUGUUCCUUAAGACCCUUAACAAAAAUGUCCAACUAACAUAACAAAUGAGGUUAAAACAAAUCUAAAUUCAUUCCCCUAAAUCUGGAAUCAACUAUUCAAAUAUGACAUCUAAAAUAAAAUUUAAAUAACAAAUAAUAUCAAUCAUAGCUUACUAUGUUGAUUUUAUAAUCCCCAAAAUCUACUAUUUUUCUAAACAUAAUUAUUAUAUCCUAAAAUCACUAUUUUUCUAAU